CAUGACUGGGGUGAAGUCGUAACAAGGUAACCGUAGGGGAACCUGCGGUUGGAUCACCUCCUUACGAAG
rnacentral:rRNA from 1 species